GUGGGUAUAGCUCAGUGGUAGAGCACACGCUUAGCAUGCAUGAGGUCCUGGGUUAAAACCCCAGUACCUCCA
rnacentral:tRNA from 1 species